GAUGAACGCUGGCGGCGUGCCUAAUACAUGCAAGUCGAGCGAACGGACGAGAAGCUUGCUUUUCUGAUGUUAGCGGCGGACGGGUGAGUAACACGUGGAUAACCUACCUAUAAGACUGGGAUAACUUCGGGAAACCGGAGCUAAUACCGGAUAAUAUUUUGAACCGCAUGGUUCAAAAGUGAAAGACGGUCUUGCUGUCACUUAUAGAUGGAUCCGCGCUUCAUUAGCUAGUUGGUAAGGUAACGGCUUACCAAGGCAACGAUGCAUAGCCGACCUGAGAGGGUGAUCGGCCACACUGGAACUGAGACACGGUCCAGACUCCUACGGGAGGCAGCAGUAGGGAAUCUUCCGCAAUGGGCGAAAGCCUGACGGAGCAACGCCGCGUGAGUGAUGAGGGUCUUCGGAUCGUAAAACUCUGUUAUUAGGGAAGAACAUAUGUGUAAGUAACUGUGCACAUCUUGACGGUACCUAAUCAGAAAGCCACGGCUAACUACGUA
rnacentral:rRNA from 1 species